CCUACGGGAGGCAGCAGUGAGGAAUAUUGGUCAAUGGGCGCGAGCCUGAACCAGCCAAGUAGCGUGAAGGAUGACUGCUCUAUGGGUUGUAAACUUCUUUUAUAAAGGAAUAAAGUGAGGUACGUGUGUCUUUCUGUAUGUACUUUAGGAAUAAGGAUCGGCUAACUCCGUGCCAGCAGCCGCGGUAAUACGGAGGAUCCGAGCGUUAUCCGGAUUUAUUGGGUUUAAAGGGAGCGUAGGUGGGUUGUUAAGUCAGUUGUGAAAGUUUGCGGCUCAACCGUUAAAUUGCAAUUGAUACUGGCAGGCUUGAGAACAGUUGAGGUAGGCGGAAUUCAUGGUGUAGCGGUGAAAUGCUUAGAUAUCACGAAGAACUCCGAUUGCGAAGGCAGCUUACUAAACUGCCACUGACGUUGAUGCUCGAAAGUGUGGGUAUCAAACAGGAUUAGAUACCCCAGUAGUC
rnacentral:rRNA from 1 species